rnacentral:sRNA from 1 species
UAUCAUAGAUAUGAUCAACUUUAAUAAAAUAAAUAGUUUUUUUAUAGAUAUGAGAGGACGGGUUUGGCGGGACUGGGUUUUGAAUCAACAUUAAU